rnacentral:lncRNA from 1 species
UACUAAUGUUUUCAAAAAAAGAAAUAUAAGAAAACACACGAAUUAUGGCAAAUUAAAUCUGCUCUAAAUUAUGAAUAUGUGGUAUCAUGGCGUGUGUUUCUAAGAGAAAUAUCAAAACACGUAUAUACAACGACUGGACAACACAAUUGUACUUCAAACGAACGUUUAACUAGAUAACUCGUGGUAUUGGAGUCAUGCCAUACGAACAUUUUAGACUGAUAUGCGUUGAAUUCCGCCUGAUUUGUAGUCCAUCCAAUAUGUUACCUAUAAUGUUGUUUCGACAAAAAUCGCAUCAAAUGAACACUUAAAUCGGAUUGUGUUUGAUAAUUCGAAUGGAAAAUCGUAUCACGUGAACAGAACGAUUAGAGAGUUCUCGCAGCUAAAGCCAAAAACGAUUAACAAUGAAAUAUAAUGCAAGUAAGUCUGUCAAUUUUCAAUCUUUACACUUGGUAUUUACAUCCGUUCGACUAUUCAGAAUUUUAAAAACAAAUUAAUUAAGUGAUCUGUUUAGGUCUUUUAUGUAGCAAACAUGUCUAAGAUGUCAUCACAUACUUGUUUGGGCUUAAUCAGUUCUAAGCUUUCGCAGAUUAUUGUGCGUUGAUGUAUGGCAUUAGCUUUCCAUUACAGUCACUUAGAUUAUAUUGUAAAUAAAACUACAUGAAUUCAAAGAAAGAGAGGUAAUUUAUUCGGUAUUGUCAGUUAUUUACCAUAUGCAAAUAACAUGUCGAAUGGUUGCCAAUGACACAACUCUAUCAACAAUAAACCAAAUGACUUACAAGAUUAACAAAAUUUGUUCACCUUAUGGCUUUCGAUCAUGUGCAAAACCAAUACCGUAUAGAAAGCUAUAAAAAACCCGAAAUGACAAAUGUAAAACAUAUCAAACUAAAAACUAACGGCGUGAUUAUCAUACAAAAUAUCAAACGAAAACAAACUAUGAUAUGCAGUAUCAAACAAAAAAAAUGCAUGACAGGUUUCAGACAGACUUGGAACCAGCACAUGUAGAACGUGGAAAAGUAAGACAUGUACCUUUCCUUAAUCCGGAACAGUGGAAGUAAAACCAUCUUCAUUAAUCAUCUAUGUAUAUCAUUUUAUAAGAUUUGUCAAGAUUGAAUGCAUGUUUUUGUAUAGCUACCUGCAAUAUGUUUUUUUUUGUUCUGAAUCACAGUUGAACAAUAUUAAUGAUUAUAAGAAAGAAGAUGUUGUAUAAUUGCCAAUGAGACAACUGUCCACAAGAGACCAAAAUGACUCAAACAUUAACCAUUAUAGGUCAACCGUACGGCCUUUAACAAUGAGCAAAGCCAAUACCGCAUAGUCAGCUCUAAAAGACCCCGAUUUGACAAUGUAAAACAAUUCAAACGAGAAAACUAACGGUCUUAUUUAUAUAAAAAAAAAUGAAGGGACAACAAAUAUGUAACACAUAAAUAAACGACAACCACUAAAUGACAGGCGCCUGACAUUGGACAAGCACAUAUAUACAUAAUGUGGCGGGGUUAAACACGUUCGCGGGAUGAUCCCAACCAUCCCCUAAUCUGGGACAGUGGAAUAACAGUACAACAUAACAAAUGAGCUUUUUUGAAAAUAUGUCAAAGCAGUUUGAUGUUACUAAUAGUUGUUGCUGUGACAUUUUCUGUUUUGUCUUACACAGUAAUUUUCAUGAUAAUAAAGACGACAUGGAAUUUGCCAGUUUGUCAUGU